CCUACGGGAGGCAGCAGUGGGGAAUAUUGGACAAUGGGGGCAACCCUGAUCCAGCCAUGCCGCGUGUGUGAAGAAGGCCCUCGGGUUGUAAAGCACUUUCAGUGAGGAAGAACGCCUGAUGGUUAAUACCCAUCAGGAAAGACAUCACUCACAGAAGAAGCACCGGCUAACUCCGUGCCAGCAGCCGCGGUAAUACGGAGGGUGCGAGCGUUAAUCGGAAUUACUGGGCGUAAAGCGCGCGUAGGUGGCUUGAUAAGCCGGUUGUGAAAGCCCCGGGCUCAACCUGGGAACGGCAUCCGGAACUGUCAAGCUAGAGUGCAGGAGAGGAAGGUAGAAUUCCCGGUGUAGCGGUGAAAUGCGUAGAGAUCGGGAGGAAUACCAGUGGCGAAGGCGGCCUUCUGGACUGACACUGACACUGAGGUGCGAAAGCGUGGGUAGCAAACAGGAUUAGAUACCCGAGUAGUC
rnacentral:rRNA from 1 species